rnacentral:rRNA from 1 species
UACGUAGGGUGCAAGCGUUGUCCGGAAUUAUUGGGCGUAAAGAGCGCGCAGGCGGUCGUCCAAGUCGCGUGUGAAAGCCCCCGGCUCAACUGGGGAGGGUCACGCGAUACUGGUCGACUCGAAGGCAGGAGAGGGUAGUGGAAUUCCCGGUGUAGUGGUGAAAUGCGUAGAUAUCGGGAGGAACACCAGUGGCGAAGGCGACUACCUGGCCUGUUCUUGACGCUGAGGCGCGAAAGCUAGGGGAGCAAACGGG